GUCCCUAUAGCGCAGUGGAUAGCGCGUUGGAUUUCUAAUCCAAAGGUGCCGGGUUCGUUCCCCGGCAGGGAUG
rnacentral:tRNA from 1 species